rnacentral:rRNA from 1 species
UAAUACCCUAUAGGUUAUAGAUGCUGGAAUGCUCUGUAACUCAAAGUUCAGGCGCCUUAGGAUGGAUCUGCGGCCGAUUAGGUUGUUGUUGGGGUAAUGGCCCAACAAGCCAGUAAUCGGUACGGGUUGUGGGAGCAAGAGCCCGGAGUUGGAUUCUGAGACACGAAUCCAGGCCCUACGGGGCGCAGCAGGCGCGAAAACUUUACAAUGCGGGCAACCGUGAUAAGGGAACCUCGAGUGCCUGUAAAUGCAGGCUGUUCAGAUGCCUAAAACACAUCUGGAGAAAGGGCCGGGCAAGACCGGUGCCAGCCGCCGCGGUAAUACCGGCGGCUCGAGUGGUGGCCACUUUUAUUGGGCUUAAAGCGUUCGUAGCUGGGUUGUUAAGUCUCUUGGGAAAUCCGCCGGCUCAACCGGCGGGCGUCUAAGGGAUACUGUUAGUCUAGGGACCGGGAGAGGUGAGAGGUACUCCGGGGGUAGGAGUGAAAUCCUGUAAUCCCCGGGGGACCACCUGUGGCGAAGGCGCCUCACCAGAACGGCUUCGACAGUGAGGGACGAAAGCUGGGGGAGCAAACCGGAUUAGAUACCCGGUAGUCCCAGCCGUAACGAUGUGCGUUAGGUGUAU